rnacentral:snRNA from 1 species
GUACUCGCUUCAGCAGCACAUAUACUAAAAUUGGAACGAUACAGAGAAGAUUAGCAUGGCCCCUGUGCAAGGAUGACAUGCAAAUUCGUGAAGCGUGGUCAU